CCUCCACUGCUUCAAAGCAAUAAAAUGUCAAUAAAGAAUUUAGUGACUGCAGCUGUAUGUACUAUAAGAAAGUCAAGUUCUCAACUUCUCUAGUUUCUCACCCAUCUCCUUUGAUUGGUGUGCUUGCAUGAUGCAUGGUUAAAUUGGUCUUUUCUAACUGCUUUUAUUGCAAUCGGUGCCCUUUAAUGUAGGACCAUAAGUUGAAUGAAUUAAAUUGGCUGACCAGUGUGGUGAAAAUGUCGGCAUAUGACAUUUUAAUACGUAUGCCACAACUAUUAUUGGUGCCAACAUUGGCUGGUCUGAGUGGUGACCGAAAUAAACACAAAUUGUAAACUAGAUUAUGUGUUCAUUCUUAUAUUUCAUCCAUCUUCCAGCGCCCCAAAUCAUUGUGUAUGCUUAAUUUGAAAGUUUGAUUGCUUCAAAAAAAAUUUUUCUCUUGCUUCCAUCUUUCUAUUUCAUUUGGGCUAUCGGUGGUUAUCACGUGUAAUAUGUUGUGAUCACUGCAGGCAGGUUGCAAGUUUCUUAUAUUUGCGCACCAUCAGCCAAUGAGAUACAUGAGUGCCUUCUUAAGAAAAAAGUGGGUUGCAUCCGGAUUGAUGGAGGUACACCCGCUGCAUCAAGGCAACAAUUGGUUACAGAUUUCCGGGAAAAGGAUUAUAUCAAGGCAGCUGUAGUAUGGUGGUAUUUUUGGUUGUGCAUUUCUUCCAUGUGUUUCCGUUAUAAGCAUCUUUUCUGUUGUCUUGGUUAGUAUUUGUGCUUGAGAUAAUGAUUUCAUGUGACACGUUAUCAUGCAGCUAUCCAUUAAAGCGGGAGGAGUUGGAUUAACUUUAACUGCUGCAAGCACAGUUAUCUUUGCAGAACAAUCCUGGACUCCAGGUGACCUAAUUCGGCCAAUGAUCGUGCUCAUAGAAUUGGCCAGGUCUCAUCAGUAAAUAUAUACUAGUUGGUAAAUGAUACGGUUGAUGACAUCAUUUGGGAUGUGGUGCAAUUCAAACCGGAUAAUUUGGGGCAGGUGUUAGAUGGCCAUGAGAACACCUUAGCUGUGUCAAAUAAUCAGCCAUUGAGUAGCCCUGCAAAGCAUACUACUAUUGGGCAUAGGCCUUCAAAGCAGAGAACUCUUGACCAGUUUGUCAGAAGAUGUGAUAACGUGGAUAGGUCGGAAGUCGGAACAUCAGCCUGACCGGAAACGGCCCUCUCGGUCAUGACUUGCGAGAUAUGCAAAAUGGAUUUCCAUUUUCACAGAUACAUGUCCAGUGGCAAGUGAAUAGGAACUUAAAUGUUGAUGUCUACAUGCAGAAGUUUCCAUGUAGUAUUAACCAGAUGUGCUUACAUGCGGAAUUCACCUGUGAUGACACAAAUGCCUUUUUGAAGCUGAAAUCCAUUGUACAACAAAUAAUAGAUUGAGUAGAACUGGGUACACUAAACUAUGUUACUUGUACUGGAGAUAAUGGUUUGAAUAUGUGAAAUAUGUAUUGGAAGAAAAUGUUGAUAAAGUCACCCAUUAGAUUUUAGGUUUCCACUUCUUGUUCUUAACUUUUUGCUCCCCUAUGUUUUGUUUUAGUUUGGGGCUCUGUACAGAGCAUGACAUUAUCAUAUAUGAACGAGACUUGUAAAUUUCUUUACUCCGUAUGCAUGUAUCAUUAUAUUUUGUAGAAA